UGAGGAAUAUUGGUCAAUGGGCGAGAGCCUGAACCAGCCAAGUCGCGUGAAGGAAGACUGCCUUAUGGGUUGUAAACUUCUUUUAUACAGGAAUAAAAAGGCUUACGUGUAGGCCAUCGCAAGUACUGUAUGAAUAAGCAUCGGCUAACUCCGUGCCAGCAGCCGCGGUAAUACGGAGGAUGCGAGCGUUAUCCGGAUUUAUUGGGUUUAAAGGGUGCGCAGGCGGGCUUUUAAGUCAGCGGUGAAAUCUGGACGCUUAACGUCCAAACUGCCGUUGAAACUGGGAGUCUUGAGUAUGGAUGAAGUAGGCGGAAUUCGUUGUGUAGCGGUGACAUGCAUAGAUAUAACGAGGAACUCCGAUUGCGUAGGCAGCUUACUAAGCCAUAACUGACGCUCAUGCACGAAAGCGUGGGGAUCAAACAGGAUUAGAUACCCUGGUAGUCCACGCCGUAAACGAUGAUUACUAGUUGUAUGCGAUAUGAUAGUAUGUGACUAAGCGAAAGCGAUAAGUAAUCCACCUGGGGAGUACGCCGGCAACGGUGAAACUCAAAUGAAUUGACGGGGUCAUAGCUG
rnacentral:rRNA from 1 species